rnacentral:rRNA from 1 species
UGGGGAAUUUUGGACAAUGGGCGCAAGCCUGAUCCAGCCAUGCCGCGUGAGUGAAGAAGGCCUUCGGGUUGUAAAGCUCUUUCAGUCGGGAAGAAACGGGGUGCUCUAACAUAGCGCCUUACUGACGGUACCGACAGAAGAAGCACCGGCUAACUACGUGCCAGCAGCCGCGGUAAUACGUAGGGUGCGAGCGUUAAUCGGAAUUACUGGGCGUAAAGCGUGCGCAGGCGGUUGUGUAAGACAGGUGUGAAAUCCCCGGGCUUAACCUGGGAAUGGCGCUUGUGACUGCACGGCUAGAGUACGGCAGAGGGGGGUGGAAUUCCACGUGUAGCAGUGAAAUGCGUAGAGAUGUGGAGGAACACCGAUGGCGAAGGCAGCCCCCUGGGCCGAUACUGACGCUCAUGCACGAAAGCGUGGGGAGCAAA